rnacentral:snRNA from 1 species
GAAUGUGUGGGUGAUCUGGCUAUGGCAUCUGUUGCCCCAUUGAUCACCAGGGUUGAUUCGGCUGAUCUGGCUGGCUAGGUGGGUGUCCCCUUCCUCCCUCACCACUCCAUGUGCAUCUCUCCCAAAGCUGCACGCUCGGUGGAAGAGGACGACCUUCCCCAAUAGAGGAGGACCGUUCUUUGGUCAAGGGUAUACGAGUAGCUGCGCUCCCCUGCUAGAACCUCCAAACAAGCUCUCAAGAAGAGGAAGUUUGGACACAUGCUAAGAAAGCAUUAGGCAACAGAAAAGGGGAGAAUCCCAGACAAAAGCCCAGUCUCUGCUU